rnacentral:rRNA from 1 species
CAAUAGCGUAUAUUAAAGUUGUUGCGGUUAAAAGCUCGUAGUUGGAUUUCUGCCGAGGACGACCGGUCCGCCCUCUGGGUGAGCAUCUGGAUCGGCCUGGGCAUCCUCUUGGGGAAGCGUAGCUGCACUUGACUGUGUGGUGCGGUAUCCAGGACUUUUACUUUGAGGAAAUUAGAGUGUUUCAAGCAGGCUUCCGCCUUGAAUACAUGAGCAUGGAAUAAUGGAAUAGGACUUUGGUCCCAUUUUGUUGGUUUCUAGGGCCGAAGUAAUGAUUAAGAGGGACAAUUGGGGGCGAUCCGUAUUUCGUUGUCAGAGGUGAAAUUCUUGGAUUUACGAAAGACGAACAACUGCGAAAGCACUUGCCAAGAGUGUUUUCAUUAAUCAAGAACGAAAGUUAGAGGAUCGAAGAUGAUUAGAU